rnacentral:rRNA from 1 species
CACCUCUAGCAUUUCAAAUAUUAGAGGCAUUGCCUGCCCAGUGACUAAAGUUAAACGGCCGCGGUAUCCUGACCGUGCAAAGGUAGCAUAAUCACUUGUUCCUUAAUUAGGGACUCGUAUGAACGGCUAAACGAGGGUCCAACUGUCUCUUAUUUUUAAUCAGUGAAAUUGACCUUCCAGUGAAGAGGCUGGAAUAACCCAAUAAGACGAGAAGACCCUAUGGAGCUUAAAUUAAUAAACUUACUUAAAUCUCACUACACCUAAUGGCACAAAAAUAAUAUUUUAAAUUUUAAAUUUUGGUUGGGGUGACCUCGGAGAAUAAAAAAUCCUCCGAAAGAAUUAUAACUUAGACCAACAAGUCAAUGUAACCUUAAUUCCAAUUGACCCAAAAAAUUUGACCAACGGACCAAGUUACCCUAGGGAUAACAGCGCAAUCCUAUUUAAGAGUCCAUAUCGACAAUAGGGUUUACGACCUCGAUGUUGGAUCAGGACAUCCCAAUGGUGCAGAAACUAUUAAUGGUUCGUUUGUUCAACGAUUAAAGUCC